rnacentral:rRNA from 1 species
AAGGGUGACGAAGCGACGCCGCGUGCGGGAAGAAGGCCUUCGGGUUGUAAACCGCUGUCGGGAGUUAGGAAAUGCAAGGAUGUUAAUAGCAUUCUUGCUUGACUAAGGCUCCGGAGGAAGCCACGGCUAACUCUGUGCCAGCAGCCGCGGUAAUACAGAGGCGGCAAGCGUUGUUCGGAAUUAUUGGGCGUAAAGAGCACGUAGGCGGCUGUGUAAGUCGGUUGUGAAAGCCUUCCGCUUAACGGAAGAACGGCAUCCGAUACUGCAUAGCUUAAGUGCGGGAGGGGAGAGUGGAACUUCUGGUGGAGCGGUGAAAUGCGUAGAUAUCAGAAGGAACACCGGCGGCGAAGGCGACUCUCUGGUCCGUAACUGACGCUGAGUGUGCGAAAGCUAGGGGAGCAAACGGGAUUAGAUACCCCGGUAGUCCUAGCCGUAAACGAUGGGCACUAAGUAGAGGGGU